UACGUCGUUCAAAUGGUUCGAUGGCGGCGUAAGUUCCAACAGACCUUUUCGGAGCAAGAAAACUACUCAUCCCAUCAAGCAACGGGAAAGCGACGCCAGGAACAGCGCGCCGAAUCCGGAAUCGAGCGGUGGGUGCUGCGUACGCAGAUAGGAGCAACGGGCCCUUGCAGCGUUCCACAAUCGAGCCACAGAUCAGUGGCAUGGGGGCUACAUGCACGGAGGCACAGGGCCCUUCAGGAUCGCUGGCAGCAUUCUUUUUCUUCUGUGAGGAGUGGAGGAGGCUGCGGAGCUAUCUGAGGAGCUGUGAGUACCUGAGGCUUUGGGGGAAGCUGUUCUUAAUGGCAGAUGCCACGAGGCGACAGGGGAGGCAGCACCAGAUUUCCCUGUGGAUCCUGAGCCUGGCAAGGGGACUUCCAGAGGCCCCUCCACAUCCAGAGAGAGGGCCUCAGGCAAGAGGCCCACAUCUAAGUCUGCCACAACAGGGGGCUCUCACAGUGGGCAUGAGGGAGCUGCCACCAGGGCUUCCUCUCAAAGAGCCAGGCACUGCAUUAGCCCUUCCCCCUCCAGGUCCCGUUUUCCCCUUAGGCUCACGCCUGUGGCUGAAUCAGCCCUAGAUCCUGGGGAUCUUUCCAUGUUCCCCCCAUCAACUCUGAGCACCCUGGGCCCAGAGAGGGGAUCUUUUCGGCAGGCCUGUUGCUGGGCUGGACAGACCUAGGCUAGCUCCCUUAAUCUGCUGAGGCAGAGCUGGUUUUGGGGCCUCCCACUCUUUCCCCAGCAUUUCCUGAGCUUCCAGAGAGGUUUCAGCAGAUUAUUGCCCAGGCAAUAUCUGAAGGUAUUGCCAUAGGCAUGCAGAAAAAAUCUAGAUCCUCUAGGAGGAGGAGUUCUUGUGGGACACCGGGAGGUCAUCCAAACCAACCUGCAACUUCUGCUCGUGAGCUAGGCAGAGCUGCCCCUCUAACAGCUAGUGAGGAUUCUGUUAGAUGAAGGGGGUCAGAAGGAGGUUGGUUUCUCUGAUGAUGAAGAACCUGUUCCGGAUGCUUCCGUGUUCACUGGUUCAUUUCCCCUCUUCUAACUUGGUUCCCUUCUGCGCAAGGCUAAGGCAAUUGCGGAUUUGGAGGUGGCUCCCGUUGCUGGGGUAACUCCGGCUACCCCAGCUCCAGGCACAAAAAAGGGGCCAUUCCACAAGCCCCCAGUAGAAAAGAAGGAGAUCCCUACUCCCUCUAUGUUCAUGGAGGUUCUCAAGUCCCAGUGGGCAAAGCCCACGGCCUUUGCUACCCCGGGCCUUACAGAUUCCGACAGUGGAACUACCUGUGGUGGCUUUGGGUGUCCUCCUCUCUGGUGGCUGGCGACAUCAUCAACAACCUUAAGGCGGAAGAUAGGAGAGCAGAACUGACUGUGCAAGAACUUCCAGGCGGCCAUGUAGGCAAUCAAGGCAGCGGCUGCGGCCUCCUUCAAUAGGUCUACCCUUCUCUUGCUGAUCCAGAUGCAGGAGAAUGGUUUGGCUAUGGAGAUACGUCUCUUGCAGGACACCGCAAAGCUCACUGUGGCUGCCCAGUUCUAAGCAGAUGCCACACUUGAUGCGGUCAAGUACGCAUCCAAAGCACUCGCCAUGUCGGUGGCGUCCAGGAGACUGCCUUGGCUCCGUAGUUGGCAGUGGGAGGCCCGGUCCAAGUGGACCUUAGUGGCAGCAGAGUAUUCCAACGACAAGAUAUUGGACCCGCUGCUGGUGGAGGACAAGAAUAAACGUAGGAUACUUCCUCCUUCUUCCAAGCGGGCAGAGCAAAGGUCGACUCCCUACCAGAGGAGGCCUGCAUAUCGGCCUCCAGAGGAGGACUACCAGCAGCAGCAGAGGUACCCUCCCCCUAGGUACCCUCGCCAAAGGGAUAGGCAAUAUUAUAGAGACAGGAAUCGAUACCAACAGCACAAUAAGCAGCCCUUUUGAGGGGGGUGGGCGUUUCUACCGCAGGAAGAAAGGAUCUGGGCUCGGAUAUUCCUAUUGGUCACCUCACUCACUUUGAGGACCGCUGGGACCUCAUCACCACUGAUGAAUGGGUCCUCCACACUGUUCAUUGUGGGUUGCAUUUGGAGUUUCGUUCCCACCCCCCUUCUCGUUUCUGGAUCUCCUCCUCUUGGAACCCGGUGAAGUGCAAGCUUAUGCGCAAGGUCAUCCAGCACCUGCUGGACAAUCAGGCCAUGGAACUGGUUCCGUAGGACCAGAGAGGUUCUGGUUUCUAUUCCAACCUUUUUGUAGUUUCAAAGAGUUCAGGGAGCUGGAGAGCCAUCCUAGAUCUAAAGUUGCUUAACUCCAGGCUGGUUUUCUGGAAGUUUAAAAUGGCUUCCUUGAAGUCUAUCCUCGAAGGGAUUAGGGUUGGGAAUUUCCUGGUCUCCAUUGAUCUUAUGGAGGCCUAUCUCCAUAUCCUGAUUGUACCGGACCAUAGGAGGUUCCUUAGAUUUUCAUACCGGGGGGGGGGGUGUCUAUUAUCAGUACAGGGCCCUUCCCUUUGGUCUGGCUUUGGCACCCAGGACCUUCACUAAGGUGUUGGCAGUGGUCGCGGGUUACCUCUGGUCUGUCCCGUUUCGAAUUCAAAUUUAUUUAGAUGAUGUCCUAGUUCAGGGGCACAGUCCUGUGACUGCGAAGAAGCACCUUCAGUUCACCAGUAGGGCCUUGCAGCCCUUGGGCUUCUCCGUAAAUUUUGAGAAGAGCCAUUUAGAGGCCUCUACACAUUUGCAACACCUGGGGGUGGUCAUUGACACGGUGGAGAGUAGGGUGUACCUCUCACAAGAUCGUAGGGACAGUAUCUGCCAACUGGUCCAGCAGAUCCAUAGGGCACACUCUGUCCCCAUAUGUUGCUCUCGCAUCUCCUGGGGAAGUGCAUCUCCUGCAUAGCGAUUGUCCUGUGGGCUCGACUUCACUCCAAAGAAGUGCAAUGGCUGCUGCUUCCGUACCAGAGGGACGGUGACAGCAAUGCGACGUUCCAGAUUCCCGUUGCGCCCCAGGUCCGGCUGUCUCUGCGCUGGUGGACGUCUCCCGCCAUGGACAAAGAGGCUCUAUUUAGAGAGUCAGACGUUGACGACCGUCGCGAAUCUCUUUGGUUGGGGGGGCCAUCUCGACUCCCAGCUGGCCCAGGGAUGUUGGUCGGUCUCCAACUUGCAUCAAAACAUCAACUGGCUGGAGCUCAGGGCGAUCCACCUAGGCCUCUGUCAUUUCAAGAAGGUCGAGGGGAAGCACCUGCUGGUGCUGACAGACAACAUCGCCGCGAAAGCACACGUCAACAAGCAGGAGUGCACCCACUUGAAUGCCCUUCGGCACGAGGCUGUGAAGUUGGGGAAUUGGGCGGAACGUCAUCUGUCGCUGAGGGCGGAGCACAUCUUGGAGGUGGACAACCUGCAAGCCGACAGUGGACCACGGAGAAUGGCAACUGCUUCCCGAGGUCUUCGACAGGAUUUGCCAGAGGUUCGGCAGUCCAGUUAUGGAUCUGUUCACCACACCAGCCAACCCGCAAGUCCAGAGGUUUAUCUUCUGGUACCCAGCUCGGGGUGCGGAGGAUGUGGGCGCCCUGCGGUGUUGUUGGCCAGAGGGUCUCCUGUAUGCCUUUCCCCCUCUUCCACUCAUUCCCAGGGUCCCCCCGGGUAGCGGAGGGGGCAGAGGUCAUUCUAGUGGCCCUUAUUGGGCCCAUCAGCCUUGAUAGAUCUGUCAGUGUCCCCCCACUGGAGGAUUCCCUGGGGGGAGGUGGCUGUACGCCAAGGGAUCCUGCGCCAUCCGGAACCUCAGUGGCUCCAGUUGACCAUUUGGCACUUGAGAGGGUACAGUUGAGGGAGACCCAGUUUUCGGCUAGAAUCAUUGCAACCAUCGAGGCCUCCAGAAGAAAAUCCACUACCCGCAUCUACGAUGCCACUUGGACUGCUUUUGUGGCCUGGUGCUCUUCCUCUCAGGUAGAUCCAGCGCAAGCCUCGAUACCUCAGGUGCUGGAGUUCCUGCAGAACGGGCUGGACAAGGGGGUUUCCUAUAACACCCUCAAGAGGCAGGUUGCGGCAUUGGCAACGGUUCUUGGGGGAGUUGGAUUCCCAUUCCCUAGCAUAGGAUCCGAUCAUUAAAAGGUUUCUCCAGGGGGCGGCCAACCUUAGGUCCCCUGUGAUCCAUCGUUUCCCCACUUGGGAUCUUCCUCCAGGCGCUGAUGGGGACUUCCUUCGAGCCAUUAAGUACGGUGAGCCUGCAGUUCCUCACCCUGAAAGGUGGCCAUCAUGUGUGCCAGGCGCAUUUGUGAGAUCAAUGCACUGUCCUCCAGGUAGGAUCUGUCCACAUUCCAUGAGAACAGGGUGGUGUUAAGGAUCGAAAAGUCCUCGACUUACUACUUAACGGCCAGCAACAAGCUGAUUGGCUAAGGCACAGCUUGGCUGAGCGCGGGCCGCUAGGGGCGCGCUUAUUGGUUUUCCCUGCUUGACAGCUCCGUAUAAAUAGCUGUCAAGCAGGUAAAGGUGCUGAAUCGCUUUGUACAUAGUUCUCGUUCUAAAAUAAAGAAGCUGUUCUUACCGCAGCCUGCCUCGUCUUUUGCUGAAGCCUCAAAAGGUGGUCCUCAGACUGGACCCUUCAUUCUUAUCCAAGGUCAAUUCCACAGGGCACAGGAUAUAGUCCUGCCGGAUUUCUGUCUGGCACCAUCCAGGGAGAGGGAACGCUCCUGGCAUCGACUAGAUGUGAGGAGGGUGUUGCGCAUCUACCUUAAACGUACCUCUCCUCUCCGGAGGUCGGAGGCGUUGUUUGUCUCCUUCCAGCCUUCCACCCUUGGGGCUAGGAUAUCCUCAGCUACCAUUGGUAGAUGGAUCAGGUCGGCUAUUACUAGAUCCUCCGAGGCUCACAGCCUUACAGUGCCGACUGGAGUUACAGCCAACCUCCACCAGGAUCGCGGCCACAUCAGCAGCCUGGUCAACCCAGGCACCCAUAGAGGAUAUUUGCUGGGCAGCAGCCUGGGCUUCCCCUACGCCUUUCAUCAGACAUUACCGGGUGGACGCUUACGCUUUGGCGGAGGCUUCAUUUGGUAGGCGGGUUCUGCAUAGAGUGUUAGAACCUCAGGAGGCUCAGGCUUCCGAUUCCCUCCCUGGGACAUCGAGCGUUGGUAUGUCCCAUCAAUGUCUCCUCCCACAGGAUCACCUAGGAGACUGUCAGUUGGUCUUACCUGAACUGCAGGUCUCUAGGUUUCCGUGGGAGGAGUCACUUCCCAUCCCAAUUGGGCGCUGAUGCAGGAAGUACCUGAGUGUUCUUGUUGUAUUAGGUCGGUUCGGUUCUUGGCUGGUUUGGUGGUUGUUCUUGUGUUCCGUUUGCUGUUCCUUACCAUUCCUACCAGAUUCCUCUUAUACCGUUGACCUUCGAUUAAACUGGGAGCCAGGAAGUGAGGCAGAGGGGAGUGGCCUCAAUUUAACCUCAGUCUCAAGGCAAAUGGGGUCUGAGAAUAUCCCAUCAAUGACUCCUCCCACCGGAACCUAGAGACCUGCAGUUCAGUUGAGAUAGCAAGGAUCAAGACUACUAUGGAAGAUUUUGAUGGGGACUUCAGUCACAGAAAAACCAUUAUGUCUGAAUUAUGUUGCAAUCAGAUUGCUGCAAACAUCCUGGUACAGGAUCUCAGAACCUUGGUGGCUUUUACUGACCCAGAGGAUGGAAUACUGGUUCAUACUCCAGAUGGAGGUGUUAAACAUCCUCUAAGAAACAGCUGAAGAACAUAUUUGGCUGUAAAAAGGCCCAAAUCAAAG